ensembl:lncRNA
CAGCUGCCCUCCUUCACAAAGACUCCCGCCCAGGGAACCGGGUGCUGUUGCGUGCAGGCAGCCCCGCCCUCCAGGAGCGACAGACCCAAGUCAACUCCUCCCAGAGAAGGAGGACCCCCGCUGUGCCUGGUGCUGGGCGGUCCUCGGAGCACAGUCUGGGCAGCGGGGGAGGGUCGGCCCCGGGGGCUCCACAGGAGCUCCGGAAGGGUGGGGGAAGGGUGUCCAAGAGCAAGGGCCCUCGGUGGGAAGGGAGCUGGGGAGAGGGCCAGCCCAAGCACAGCGCAAUUCUGGAACAUGUGGUAUGUUUGAGGGGUGGGUGGCAUUUGGAGAGAAGUAUCAGUUGGCCUGUCCUUGGGCGCUGGCCUCUCUCCCUGUUCCUUAUGCUGUUCCCAUCUCUCUCCACUGCAGUGGGCCCCACAGCUUUUUCGCAGGGAGAAAUGACAGAUGACACCCAGCUCGUCCCGGUGACACGCAGGGUUGGGGUCUCUGGGACACCCACCAAGCAGGGACCCACAAGACCAGGAUGCUUGACUGAUGGAACCAGAGGCUCCACCCCUCCACGGCCAAGACGCCACUGGGCUUGCUGCAAGACAGAAGUAACUUUUCACUGGGGAAAGGAAAGUGGUAGACAGAGCCGCUGUGAGAAGUGUAUCCAACAUCGUAUCUAGCUCCAGACCAGUCACAUGUCAGUCCUCAGGCCCUAAUCGCCCGUCCACCGUGUCUGAGACGUAACUGCAGCCGGAAGAUGAAUGGACCAGCUGACCCUGGCCCUGGGCCCUGGCCUCUGAUGGACUCUGCCCCCCACCUCCUCUGCCGCCCCGUUUCUUCUCUCCACCCCACCGGGCACAUCAGGCUCCAGACACCCGCCUCUGGUGGACCCUCAGUAACUACCCGCCAGAUGAAGGACAGGAUUGCCACUGCCUUUUGCAGCAGGCAGGUCCGAACUCUUCCCGGCGGCCUCACCUGGAUCUCAGCCUCCAACCAGCAGAGCGCUGGGCACCAGGUGGGGCAGCCGAUGAAGCUGGUCUUCUUGGGGGAUUUGUUGACAGCAUUUGAAAACAGCAAGUAAUGAUGACACGUACGUGAAAUGGACUAUUACGUCCCCAAGAAAAAUCUAAUUAAACGAGAAAAGUGUAUGUGGAAAAGCCACGUCCCACCCUGUGAACACCACGUGGCACCAUGUUAGGAAACACGCGAGUGAAGAGGUGACCAGCCUGCUGUUAGAAGUGACUGUCAAAGCUUCAUAAAUACACAUUUCUAUUAACCUUGGCUGUGCCAUUUCCUCUUUUCCCUGCUGGACGGAAAUGCCUCAGCUCAGGUUGAAUCAGGGGGAAAGGGGAGGCGCCCCCAAAUUCUCAAGUGCAUCCUCUAAUGACCUGGGACAUUCCUAAUCCCCACUGAGGCUCAUCAAUACAAAGGAAGUGCAUGUUGCCAACUCCCGUGAGUAGAAGGAAGGGGUCUGGGUGACCCUCCGUCCCUUCAUUUCCUGCCCAC